rnacentral:ncRNA from 2 species
UUCAUCACGCAGGGGAGCCCGCACAGACGGGCUGGGAGGAGGCCGCGCGGCCUCGACCCUUUGAACCUGAUACGGGAUCAUGCCGGCGAAGGAAGCGCUUUCUGAAAAGGA